AUUGAACGCUGGCGGCAUGCUUUACACAUGCCAGUCGAACGGUAACAGGCCGCCAGGUGCUGACGAGUGGCGAACGGGUGAGUAAUGCAUCGGAAAGUGCCCCGUCGCGGGGGAUAACUACUCGAAAGAGUAGCUAAUACCGCAUACGAUCUAUGGAUGAAAGCGGGGGACCGUAAGGCCUCGCGCGAUUGGAGCGGGCGAUGUCAGAUUAGGUCGUUGGUGGGGUAAAGGCUCACCAAGCCAACGAUCUGUAGCUGGUCUGAGAGGACGACCACCCACACUGGGGCUGAGACACGGCCCAGACUCCUACGGGAGGCAGCAGUGGGGAAGUUUGGACAAUGGGCGCAAUCCUGAUCCAGCAAUGCCGCGUGCAGGAAGAAGGCCUUCGGGUUGUAAACUGCUUUUGUACGGAACGAAACGGCUCUGGUUAAUACCCGGGGCUAAUGACGGUACCGUAAGAAUAAGCACCGGCUAACUACGUG
rnacentral:rRNA from 1 species